AUGAAUGGAUAAACGAGGGCAAAACUGUCUCUUUUACUUCCUUAAAAAUUAACCCUCAGGUGAAGAUGCCUGAAUAAGAAUGAAAGACAAGAAGACCCUGUUGAGCUUCACUCUUCACAUUUUUAAUCAUUGAUAACCUAAAAUUGAUUACUAAUGCUCGAGUUCUGUUGGGGCGACAAAGGAAUAUAUUAAUCUUCCUUAAACUCACAGACCCCCAGUCUCCCUUUUGACCCUACCUAGAUCAAAGAAAUCAGCUACCACAGGGAUAACAGGCUAAUUCUUCUUGAGAGCCCACAUUAACAGAAGAGUUUGGCACCUCGAUGUUGGCUUGGGGGUACCUAUAUGGUGCAGCAGCCUAAUAGGUGAGUUUGUUCAACUCUUAAAACCCCACGUGAUCUGAGUUCA
rnacentral:rRNA from 1 species